rnacentral:rRNA from 1 species
GAUGAACGCUGGCGGCGUGCUUAACACAUGCAAGUCGAACGGAAAGGCUCCUGCUUGCAGGGGUACUCGAGUGGCGAACGGGUGAGUAACACGUGGGUGAUCUGCCCUGCACUUCGGGAUAAGCCUGGGAAACUGGGUCUAAUACCGGAUAGGACCACAUUUUGGCUGGUGUGGUGGAAAGUUUUUCGGUGUGGGAUGAGCUCGCGGCCUAUCAGCUUGUUGGUGGGGUAAUGGCCUACCAAGGCGUCGACGGGUAGCCGGCCUGAGAGGGUGUACGGCCACAUUGGGACUGAGAUACGGCCCAGACUCCUACGGGAGGCAGCAGUGGGGAAUAUUGCACAAUGGGCGCAAGCCUGAUGCAGCGACGCCGCGUGGGGGAUGACGGCCUUCGGGUUGUAAACUCCUUUCGCUAGGGACGAAGCGCAAGUGACGGUACCUGGAGAAGAAGCACCGGCUAACUACGUG